GUGUGUGUGUGUGUGUGUGCUUGUGUGUGUGAGAGAGAGUGUGUGUGUGUGAGAGAGAGAGAGAGAGUGAGAGUGAGAGUGAGUGCUUGUAUGAAAGAAUGGUGUGCUUGUGUGUGUGUUGUUGUUGUUGGGCCAAAAACUAUUUUAUUCCUUAGCUUUCAUGAUGAAUAUCUUCCGUUCCAUCUACUUGAAACAUUCUUAUUGUUGGGUAUCCUUCUCUUUGGCUCACAGAGUUGUCAUGUUUGUUCAUGUUUUAAUCUUUUGGAGAUCUGUUCUUAAUAAACAUUUUUCUUAAAUAAUAGGUCUUCUUCAGUGUUGCAGUGUUAAUUAACAUAAUUCUGAACAGAUUUUGCUAAUUCAAACAGCCCAACAUGUUUUUAAAAAGCUUAAACUUUAAAAAGCUUUACUUACAAAAAAUAUGUGCUGUUUAAAUCGGGCUUGGGCUCAAGAGGACAGUGUAUGGGGUGGAGCAGGCUUGGCCAGAACGUGUACGGGCUCGGGCCGGGUCAGGCAGGAUAUUUUGGGCCAGAUCUAAGCUCUAGAGAGUGCAGGGGUAGAUGUAACUGAGAUGCUGUGAGCCUUUUGGAAGCCUCUUGUGACCUCAGGACUGCAAUAUUAGCCAGUGGUUACCAGAUUGUAGGUGUUGUAGACUGGUGUUAAAGGUUGGUGUAGGCUGGUAGUAGAUACUUUUCUACCUAAAGUACAUGCUGUAGUACUUAAUCUGACUCUCUUGUAUGUUCCACAGAUGCAGUUUGUUAAGUGCUUGCUGAUUACCGCUGUGGCUCUUUCCUUAAUGCCCAUGUUCACCUCUGCCCUGGUCAAAACGGUGAAGAAGCUGAACGAAUCCGCUGUUCUGAGCUGUAACGUAGAGUGUCCAGGUGUGAUGCAGUGGAGAAGGAAUGGGGAGGCCGUUGCUGAGUGCGGUCCUGGAGCUAAACAUUUGAGUUUCGUCUGUGAAAUUAAUCAGGAAAAAUCUCUGUUCACUGUUCCUCUGGUGAACUUCUCAACCAGAGGCGUCUACUCUGCUUUCUGCAGUGGCGAAGAAAUGUCUCAGUGCAGACAAUUCUUACAACUUAUCCCCCCUGAGGAUGUCUUUGUCCGGAAUGCUGGAGAUCGUCUGGGACUGGAUCUUCGCAUUCCUGAUCCGGUUAUCGUAGAGUUCACAGUGCCUGGAAACUCCUUCACACUUGAGGUUUGCCGCGUGGAUGGACGUCGUUGUCCGUGUCACGCAAAGUAUGAGCAGAGGAUCCUCGUUGUUGGAAACAUCUUAUUUCUGAUGGAUCUCAGACCUUCAGACAGCGGCAACUACAGCAUACGAAACGCUGCUGACCGUACACUGGUGAGCAGUUCAGACGUCACUGUCACAGAGAGGAGCUCCAGAGUCAGAAUUCCCACCUCACCAGAGAGAGAGAAGCACGACCCCAAACAUUUCUUCAUCAGCACAGUAAACGACCUUCAGGAGAGCUGGAUAUGGAAGGAAGGAUAUCAUAAGGGAAAAGUGACUGGAGCGCUGGCAGCUGGAAUUCUAGGGCUUGUUUGCAUAGUUGUGUUUUUCUUUUUUGGUGUGUUUGUUGGGCCAAAGCUGUUACCUCUGCUGAACAGCUGUGAGCAGAAUCUCAGAUUUCCAGAGCGCUCAGGAUCCACGUAUGGAUAAUGAAAGGGGUAUUCUCCUGACUUCUCCUAAUGGUCCCACCCAGAACUAGGAAAAUGAUCUUAACGUCAGAAGCUGAAUUUUAAUGUUUUUAGCCUUUUGAAAAAACCUAAUUGAAAAAAUUAUGUAGAAGCCAAAUAUGAUGUUUUUUCCUUCAACAUACAAAAUGUAGAAACCCAAACUGUAGACCUGGGUUUCCAGUAGGCUGACUAUGAUGAUCUACUUAUCCAACAAAAAAAAGCUCAGUUUUAACAAUCUUACUAAAAAGGCUCAGCUUUUUUAUUAAGUAUACCGUUAAAACUGAGUUCCAUUCCAUUAAUAUCACACUGCCAAAUUUCUGCUCUGUCUCACUUAUACAGGCCAGAACAGCCCGUUCAUUCCUGUGCAUUUAACAUGAACACAGGACAUUUGUGUAUUAAUAUGUGAUGAUGUCAGGGCCCUAAGCACAUCACCAUCCACCAAGAACCCCUUAUGUACAUUUUAUUAAAAGACAUUAAAGAGACAUUAACACAGGACUUACCUGGCUCCUGUAGAAAUGGUGGGCAUCUUCCUCCCAACCCUCUGGUACCCUCCUGACCUCUCAUCCCCACACUACCACAUAACAUUUAUAUUCUCUGAAGAAUGCCCCCCAAAAAUCACACAUUCUGCCAGAGUAUGUAAACUUAUGAGCACAACUGAACAAGCUAACAGAGAAAUUAUUCCCAGAGUAAGCUUUAACUAUCCAUAAUCACUUUAAUUAACUCUCCCUGACCCGUAGCUUCUUACAUGUAGACAUGUCACACCUGCAUUAUGAUGUUUUUAUUUAUUUAUUUAUUUAUUUAUUUUUAAAUAAUAAAUAAAUAUUUAUUUAGCUCA
rnacentral:lncRNA from 1 species